UUGCGCCGGCGACGUGUCAUUCAAGUUUCUGACCUAUCAGUUAGUCGGUAGUGUAUUGGACUACUGAGGCAUUGACGGGUAACGGAGAAUUAGGGUUCGAUUCCGGAGAGGGAGCCUGAGAAACGGCUACCACAUCUAAGGAAGGCAGCAGGCGCGUAAAUUACCCAAUCCUGACUCAGGGAGGUAGUGACAAAAAAUCACAAUAUUUCACCCAAUGGGUUAAAUAAUUGUAUUGAGAACAGGCUAAACAUGUUACCGAUAAACUAUUGGAGGGCAAGUCUGGUGCCAGCAGCCGCGGUAAUUCCAGCUCCAAUAGCGUAUACUAACGUUGUUGCAGUUAAAAAGCUCGUAGUUGGAUUUCUAAGCCUGCCAGUUCUGUCUGACCUUUAAGAGUCAGCACAGUGUCUGGCGUGUCUUAUUAUGCGUUUAAUGGCGUUUGCUAUUCGCUUAGCGAGUGCCGUGAGAGCGCGUGUUUACUUUGAGAAAAUUAGAGUGUUCAAAACAGUCUUACGAUUGUAUAUCAUAGCAUGGAAUAAUAACUGAUGACAACGGUCUCUGUUGUUGGCUUUCGGUGACUGAUGUAAUGAUUGAUAGAGUCAGUCGGAGGCAUUAGUAUUUUAUCGUUAGAGGUGAAAUUCACAGAUCGAUAAAAGACUAACAACUGCGAAAGCAUUUGUCUAGGAUGUGCUCUUUGAUCAAGAACGAAAGUUGGGGGAUCGAAGACGAUCAGAUACCGUCGUAGUCUCAACUAUAAACUAUACCAGCUAGGGAUUGGCGAAUGUUUGUUUGACUUCGUCAGAACCUUAUGAGAAAUCAAAGCAUUUGGGUUCCGGGGGGAGUAUGGUCGCAAGGCUGAAACUUAAAGGAAUUGACGGAAGGGCACCACAAGCCGUGGAUCCUGCGGCUUAAUUUGA
rnacentral:rRNA from 1 species